UGGGGGCUGGACGUCAUGCUGCCCAAAAAGCACAAAUCAGGUUAUCAAAAGAAGAAAGAAAGGAAGGAAAAAGAAAGAAUGCAGAAUGAGGGGAGGCAGCUGUUGACAGCUUUCUUUCCCAAAGCCAGUUUCAGAAACAAACAGUGGCGCUGGCGCAGCACCAGGAGCAGCAGUGGCCAGUCCUGACGGCUCUUCUGAAGAUGAGCCUGAGGUUAGAGAUAAACAAAGACAAGGGUCAUUUUACGGGAAAUCGGACACUUUGGAACUCAACCGACACGGAUUUUCAUCAAACUUUGUGUGCCUUUUUAGUGGCAAUGUAGAACCCCAGAACUGCAUUUGCAUGAAUCUGCCACUAAUAUAAAGGGAGAAAUGGACUAA